rnacentral:rRNA from 1 species
CAGCAGCCACGGUAAUACGGAGGGUGCAAGCGUUAAUCGGAAUUACUGGGCGUAAAGCGCACGCAGGCGGUCUGUCAAGUCGGAUGUGAAAUCCCCGGGCUCAACCUGGGAACUGCAUUCGAAACUGGCAGGCUAGAGUCUUGUAGAGGGGGGUAGAAUUCCAGGUGUAGCGGUGAAAUGCGUAGAGAUCUGGAGGAAUACCGGUGGCGAAGGCGGCCCCCUGGACAAAGACUGACGCUCAGGUGCGAAAGCGUGGGGAGCAAACAGGAUUAGAUACCCCGCGUAGUCCCUGUCUCUUAUA